UUAAAUUGAAGAGUUUGAUCAUGGCUCAGAUUGAACGCUGGCGGCAGGCCUAACACAUGCAAGUCGAACGGUAACAGGAAGCAGCUUGCUGCUUCGCUGACGAGUGGCGGACGGGUGAGUAAUGUCUGGGAAACUGCCUGAUGGAGGGGGAUAACUACUGGAAACGGUGGCUAAUACCGCAUAACGUCGCAAGACCAAAGAGGGGGACCUUCGGGCCUCUUGCCAUCAGAUGUGCCCAGAUGGGAUUAGCUUGUUGGUGAGGUAACGGCUCACCAAGGCGACGAUCCCUAGCUGGUCUGAGAGGAUGACCAGCCACACUGGAACUGAGACACGGUCCAGACUCCUACGGGAGGCAGCAGUGGGGAAUAUUGCACAAUGGGCGCAAGCCUGAUGCAGCCAUGCCGCGUGUAUGAAGAAGGCCUUCGGGUUGUAAAGUACUUUCAGCGGGGAGGAAGGUGUUGUGGUUAAUAACCACAGAAAUUGACGUUACCCGCAGAAGAAGCACCGGCUAACUCCGUGCCAGCAGCCGCGGUAAUACGGAGGGUGCAAGCGUUAAUCGGAAUUACUGGGCGUAAAGCGCACGCAGGCGGUCUGUCAAGUCGGAUGUGAAAUCCCCGGGCUCAACCUGGGAACUGCAUUCGAAACUGGCAGGCUUGAGUCUUGUAGAGGGGGGUAGAAUUCCAGGUGUAGCGGUGAAAUGCGUAGAGAUCUGGAGGAAUACCGGUGGCGAAGGCGGCCCCCUGGACAAAGACUGACGCUCAGGUGCGAAAGCGUGGGGAGCAAACAGGAUUAGAUACCCUGGUAGUCCACGCCGUAAACGAUGUCUACUUGGAGGUUGUGCCCUUGAGGCGUGGCUUCCGGAGCUAACGCGUUAAGUAGACCGCCUGGGGAGUACGGCCGCAAGGUUAAAACUCAAAUGAAUUGACGGGGGCCCGCACAAGCGGUGGAGCAUGUGGUUUAAUUCGAUGCAACGCGAAGAACCUUACCUGGUCUUGACAUCCACGGAAGUUUUCAGAGAUGAGAAUGUGCCUUCGGGAACCGUGAGACAGGUGCUGCAUGGCUGUCGUCAGCUCGUGUUGUGAAAUGUUGGGUUAAGUCCCGCAACGAGCGCAACCCUUAUCCUUUGUUGCCAGCGGUUAGGCCGGGAACUCAAAGGAGACUGCCAGUGAUAAACUGGAGGAAGGUGGGGAUGACGUCAAGUCAUCAUGGCCCUUACGACCAGGGCUACACACGUGCUACAAUGGCGCAUACAAAGAGAAGCGACCUCGCGAGAGCAAGCGGACCUCAUAAAGUGCGUCGUAGUCCGGAUUGGAGUCUGCAACUCGACUCCAUGAAGUCGGAAUCGCUAGUAAUCGUGGAUCAGAAUGCCACGGUGAAUACGUUCCCGGGCCUUGUACACACCGCCCGUCACACCAUGGGAGUGGGUUGCAAAAGAAGUAGGUAGCUUAACCUUCGGGAGGGCGCUUACCACUUUGUGAUUCAUGACUGGGGUGAAGUCGUAACAAGGUAACCGUAGGGGAACCUGCGGUUGGAUCACCUCCUUACCUUAAAGAA
rnacentral:rRNA from 1 species